rnacentral:rRNA from 1 species
UACGUAGGGUCCGAGCGUUGUCCGGAAUUACUGGGCGUAAAGAGCUCGUAGGUGGUUUGUCGCGUUGUUCGUGAAAACUCACAGCUCAACUGUGGGCGUGCGGGCGAUACGGGCAGACUGGAGUACUGCAGGGGGAGACUGGAAUUCGUGGUGAUAGCGGGUGGGAAAUACGGCAGAUAUCAGGAGGAACACCGGUGGCGAAGGCGGGUCUCUGGGGCAAGUAAACU